AGUUUGAUCCUGGCUCAGGACGAACGCUGGCGGCGCGCCUAAACAUGAAGUUGAGGAGGCUUUAGAGUCUCUUUUUAAGCUUAGGGGGGACGGGGUAAUAACGGUUUGUUACCUCUCCUAAGGUGGGGGCAACAAGUGGAAACGGUCGUUAAUCCCGGAUAAGGCCCCGGUUCCCGAUGGCCUGAGAGAAAAGGUUUUUUCGCUUUAGGAGGACCUGCGUCCAAUUAGUUAUUGGUGAGGUACGGCCCCACAAGGCGACGAUUGUUCCCCGACUUAAGGGUUUGACCGCCCACAUUGGGAUUGAGCCAGGGCCCAGAUUCCUACGGGAGGCAGCAGUGGGGGAUAUUGCACAAUGGGGGAAACCCUGAUGCAGCGACGCCGCGUGGAGGAAGAAGGUUUUCGGAUUGUAAACUCCUGUCGUUAGGGACGAUAAUGACGGUACCUAACAAGAAAGCACCGGCUAACUACGUGCCAGCAGCCGCGGUAAAACGUAGGGUGCAAGCGUUGUCCGGAAUUACUGGGUGUAAAGGGAGCGCAGGCGGGAAGACAAGUUGGAAGUGAAAACCAUGGGCUCAACCCAUGAAUUGCUUUCAAAACUGUUUUUCUUGAGUAGUGCAGAGGUAGAUGGAAUUCCCGGUGUAGCGGUGGAAUGCGUAGAUAUCGGGAGGAACACCAGUGGCGAAGGCGGUCUACUGGGCACCAACUGACGCUGAGGCUCGAAAGCAUGGGUAGCAAACAGGAUUAGAUACCCUGGUAGUCCAUGCCGUAAACGAUGAUUACUAGGUGUUGGGGGAUUGACCCCCUCAGUGCCGCAGUUAACACAAUAAGUAAUCCACCUGGGGAGUACGACCGCAAGGUUGAAACUCAAAGGAAUUGACGGGGGCCCGCACAAGCAGUGGAGUAUGUGGUUUAAUUCGAAGCAACGCGAAGAACCUUACCAGGUCUUGACAUCCGAUGCAUAGCACAGAGAUGUGUGAAAUCCUUCGGGACAUCGAGACAGGUGGUGCAUGGUUGUCGUCAGCUCGUGUCGUGAGAUGUUGGGUUAAGUCCCGCAACGAGCGCAACCCUUAUUGCCAGUUACUACGUUAAGAGGACUCUGGCGAGACUGCCGUUGACAAAACGGAGGAAGGUGGGGAUGACGUCAAAUCAUCAUGCCCUUUAUGACCUGGGCUACACACGUACUACAAUGGCGUUAAACAAAGAGAAGCAAGACCGCGAGGUGGAGCAAAACUCAAAAACAACGUCUCAGUUCAGAUUGCAGGCUGCAACUCGCCUGCAUGAAGUCGGAAUUGCUAGUAAUCGCGGAUCAGCAUGCCGCGGUGAAUACGUUCCCGGGCCUUGCACACACCGCCCGUC
rnacentral:rRNA from 1 species